rnacentral:rRNA from 1 species
GACGAACGCUGGCGGCGUGCUUAACACAUGCAAGUCGAACGGAAAGGCUCCAGCUUGCUGGAGUACUCGAGUGGCGGACGGGUGAGUAACACGUGGGUAAUCUGCCCUGCACUCUGGGAUAAGCCUGGGAAACUGGGUCUAAUACUGGAUAUGACCUUUCUCCUUAUGGGGUUUGGUGGAAAGUUUUUCGGUGUAGGAUGAGCCCACGGCCUAUCAGCUUGUUGGUGGGGUGAUGGCCUACCAAGGCGACGACGGGUAGCCGGCCUGAGAGGGUGAUCGGCCACAUUGGGACUGAGAUACGGCCCAGACUCCUACGGGAGGCAGCAGUGGGGAAUAUUGCACAAUGGGCGGAAGCCUGAUGCAGCGACGCCGCGUGAGGGAUGACGGCCUUCGGGUUGUAAACCUCUUUCAGCAGGGACGAAGCGUAAGUGACGGUACCUGCAGAAGAAGCACCGGCUAACUAUGUG